rnacentral:rRNA from 1 species
UACGUAGGGACCAAGCGUUGUUCGGAUUUACUGGGCGUAAAGGGCGCGUAGGCGGUUCGAUAAGUCCCGUGUGAAAUCCCUCGGCUCAACUGAGGAACUGCACGGGAAACUGACGGGCUUGAGUUCGGGAGAGGGAAGCGGAAUUCCGGGUGUAGCGGUGAAAUGCGUAGAUAUCCGGAGGAACACCGGUGGCGAAGGCGGCUUCCUGGACCGACACUGACGCUGAGGCGCGAAAGCUAGGGGAGCAAACGGG